rnacentral:misc_RNA from 1 species
GGAUCUCUCUAGUUGCUUCUUCACUUGAGAAAUUGUCAACAGCACCUUGGAGAAGGUUCUUUAUUGUUCCUUUUUCUAUGAUGUUCUGUUUCUCAAUAGUCUCACUUGAAUCAGUGUUUACAAUUUCCUUGCAUGACUCUUCGUUUUGUAUUUCCUUUGCUACUAUCUUGUCUCCUGGAAUUUCUUCACCCUUCAUCUCAUGCUUUUGUUGGAUCGUUUUAGUUGCUUCUUCAACCAAGAUAUUGUCAACAACAGCUCGUUGAAGGCUCUCAACAGUUGCUUUUUCUAUGCUGAUCUGUUUUUCAAUUGUGUCACUUGCAUCAGUCUUCUCAAUUUCCUCACGUAACGCUUCAUUUUGUGUUGCCUUUGUUAACACCUCAUCUCCUAGACUUUCUUCAUGCUUUAUCUCUUGAUCUUGGUGGCUCUCUUUAGUUCCUUCUUCACCAAGAGUUAUUUCCUCACAAUUCUUGGCAUCAUUCUCUUCGAUGAUCUGUUCAUGUGUGACUUCAUUAUGUAUGUUCUCAGCUGCAUCGGUUGUUUUUUCACUUUGAUUUUCUUUGACCAUUAAAUCCAAAGUUGUUGCCUCUAAAUGCUUUUCCUUGAUUUCAGUUUCUUCUGAUUCAUUGAGUACUUCGCGACCAUGAACUUCUAAUAUAGAUUCAGAACCCUCUUCACUUAGCUCAGUCUUGAGAGUGGAGGUUUUCUCAGACAGCCCUGUUAUUUCAGAUUCCGAGAUUUUCCCACUUUCUAGUGGAUGUUCUGCAUCUCUCAUCUCAUUUCCAGGUUCAGCCUGCAAUUUUAAAUGUUCAUCUGGAGUCCCAUCUUCUGCCACAUGGAUUUCUUCAAGACUCUCCUUCUGUAUAUCAUUGUCAAUUUGAAGAUCUAAUUGGGAGGUUUUGAGCUUCCUUGUCUCUUCCUUUUUAAUGCAUCCCUCUUCUGUUGUUUUUGGUGCAUUUUCUGGUAUUUCCACUUCCAUUGCCUUUUCUUCUAUGCUCUUAGUGUUGGUUGAAAUGCCAUGCUCCUGUUCUUUGGAAAGCAAUCCAGCUAAUGAUGUCUGAUUUUGCUCCUCUGAUGUCUCUACUGGUAGAGAGUGAUCCGAAAUAAUUUCAUCUUCUGCUGCUUCUGUAUGGUCUUCAGAACUGGACUUGGAUGCUAAUUCAGAAACUUCUUUAAUUCCUUCUGUAGUACCAUUUUUAGCCCCAUCUUGUCUAUCAUGUAUUUCAUUUGGGCUCUCCUCCUGUGCAUCUAUAUCAGGUUGAAACUCCAACAGGGAGACUUCAAGCUCUCUGGGAUCUUCCUUGUGGAGGAAUACCUCAUCUGUUGCUUUUGACUUAUUGUCCAGCACUUCCAUUUCCUUCUUGUUCUCUUCUGUGCUCUUGAUUUUGGCUGAAGUUCCAUCCUCUUGUUCCUUUGAAAGCAGUGAAGAGGACUGUUUCUGGUUCUGUUCUUCUGGUUUCUCCACAAGAUUAGUCUGAUCAGAACUGAUUUCUUCUUCUUUAUCUUCUCCAUCAUCUUUUGAAUUAGAAUUUAAUAUGGAAACAGAAGAUCCCUUCUUUUCUUCAGUUUCUGAUGAAGUCUCUUCUUGUUCCUUUUGUGCUUCAUUUGGACUCUCUUUUUUAUCUUUACUAAUUUCAAGGUCUAAUUGGGAGACAAUGAUAUCCCUGGACUCUUCAUUUGGUAAGAAACACUCUUCACUUGUUUUUGGUCCAUCUACUGGCAAUUCCACUUCCGUUAUGCUUUCUUCUAUCUUCUCAACUUGCAUUGAGUAUUCAAGUUCAUGUUCCCUGGAAAGUAAUGCAUCUGAUUCUGUUUGACGUUGUUCUUCUGAUUUCUCCUCUUUAUCAUCAGCAACUAUAUCUUCUGUAGCAACUUCGUGGUUGUGACAUUUGGACUUCAAUGCUGUUUCAGAAACUUCUUUGGUUUCUUCUUUAAUUUUGUCUAGAGUUUCCUCUUUCUCCACUUGCAGGCAUCUGUCUUCUGUUGUCUCUAAUGCAGAAGAAUUUUCUGGCUUUUCAUCCUUUGCUAUUACCUUUUUCUCUAUCUUCUCUCCGAUAUUUUCAAUUGUGGCUUUAGUUUCACGCUCCUCUUCUUUGCAAGGAAUUGCUAGAGAUGGUGUCUCAUGUUCUUUUGUUAUCUCUUCUGGGCAGGUCUGAUCAUUAGCAACUUCAAUUCCUGUAACUGUUUCAUCACUCUGAGACUUGUGUACUGUUUCAGAGGCUGCUUUGAUUUCUUCUCUAAUUUCAUCUAUGUGCAGCUCUUCCACUCUCUGAUUUCUGGAUUCAUAAACUACAUCAGAAGCUUUUCCACUAUCCUCAUUGUCAUCUAGAUUUGCAUUUUCCUUCUCCAUGGUUGCAUUCUCCCGUGUUAUGCUCUCAUGAUCAGGUGGAAGUCGCGAUGCCAAGUUUGAGGAGUUUUCUUCAAGCACCAUGCUGUCCUGUUGACAUGCCUCAACUUCAACUGCAUGUGGUUUGCUCUCAUCUGAGGGGAUGCUAGAGUGCUGCACUAGCUUUUCAUCUGUCAGAACUUCCUUCAAGCUUGGUUUUGCUGUUACCUCCACCACAGUUGUUGCCUUUAUAUUGUCAUAACCACUAUCUGCAUCCUCUAAGAUCUGCUCCUUAAUUUUUUCUUCCGAUUCUUUUGUUGGUAUAAUGGGUGAGAGGCUUACAGUCUUUUCACUAUCUGCAUCUUCCAAUUCUCUUUCUCCCUUUCCUUUUGUAGCUAAUAUAUCUUUUUCCACGGCUUGUGGUACUUGAACCUCUGAGCUUAUUGUUUCUGUCUGUUCAUUGGAGUCUGUUGCUUUAAGAGAUUCGGUGGAUACAAGGCUGAAUUCUUUCACCUCAUCUUCUCUUUCAUCUUCAGUGGAUACAGUGUGAAUUUCCUGUAUAUCAUUCUCUUCCUUGUUAAGGUGUUUGACAGUUUCAUCAAAAUCAGCUUUCUCAACUUCUUUGUGCACCUCUUCAGUUAAGAUGGUAGCCUUUAUUGUCUCAUCUGCAUUUUGUGUUUCUUUAAUGUGAUCUUCAGCCUCCAACUUUGACUCAGUUAUCUCUUCUGUCUCCUCCUGAUUCUCUUGAGAUUCUUGGGAUCUUUGUUCAAAAGAUUCAGAAAUUCUCUUUUCCUCAACUGUGCUUAGGUUGGUAUCAAGGAUUGUUUCAUUGCUUUGAUCUCUUGUCACUAUUUCAGAGGUACAAUCAAGCUUCUUACUAGACUCCAAUGAUUCAAAAUUCUCUUCUGUUGGAAUUCCAAAGUUUUUGGUCUCACUGGCCUCAAGCUCUUGUUUCUGGGCUCCUGUUGCGAGCUUAGCAUCUUCUUUUUCUACUGCAUCAUCUUUCUUUAAGCUAGAAUUUUUAGCAGAAUCCUCAACAUCAUCUUUCUGAGCUUCAGAUUUCUUAGCAGAAUCCUCUUCUUCCAGGAUAAUUGAAUUGCAAAUCUCUCCCUGAUCAACUAGGUCUCCUGUUUCUUCCAUCUUCAAGAUUUCAGUGUCCUCUGGUUUGGAGAGAAUUUUUUCAUUAAGUAGCUCAGGAUUCUGAUGAAGAUCCUCACUCUGGUAAGACCUGGCUUCUUCAUUUGUAAUCUCUGUUCCAGUGUCCACAAGAACUAAUCCUGAGACCUCGUCUGCAGCUGUGAUCUUAUCCUCAUCUACUGGCUUGCUUUCUUCACUAGUUAUGAACUCAGAAUCUUUUGAUAAAAUUUUAGGGCAUUCCAUCAGUUUAUCAUCUGAUAUUUUGCCUGAAGAUGUUGCAGUAAUAAUCAUCUCCCUUUGAUUGUCAAUUCCUGCAAUAAAAGCUUCGUUUUGGAUGUCAUGCUUUAUAUCUUCUCCAGCUUCAUAUGCUUCUCGUGAUAUCUCAUGGUCCCUCUUCUCAACCAAGGUGGUGGCAUCAUCUCUUGGGACAUUGCUAUCCAAACUGUCCAAUGCAGUUCCUUUUGUGUCACCUGACAUCGGUCCCUUCUCUUGAGUGUAGGGACCCGAACUUUCAAACUGCCUUUCAUCUUCUAGUUCGACUUCCACCCCCUCAAAGCUUGUUUCUUUUGUCACUUCCAUAACAGAUGCUGAGAUAGAAUCAUUAACAAGUGGCUCUUCUUUCCCUAAGGUGUCUUCUUUGCUCUGUGACUCUAAUAAGAAGACUUCAACAAGGCUUUCAUUGCUUUCUUUAGGCAGCAUUCCUUCUUCAGAUUCUUUCGCAGGAUAAAGGCCAAUAUUUGGUUCUUGUUUUUCCUCCGGGUUGUAGAGUUUAUUUGCCUCCUCAUAAACUCUUGAUGCAAUCUGUUUUGUGGAUUCUGAAUUGAAGCUUUUUAUCUCUUCUUUUUCCUUCUGUAUAGUAUCUUCUUCAUCUAUUCCUUUUACAGGAACAUCAAAGUUGCCCUUAGUUGCAUUGCCUUCCUCUGUGAUCUGUUUCACAGUAUCCUCAUUCUCAGCAGGUUGAAUAAUUUCAUGCAUCUCUUUUUUUGGCACCACUGCUAUCAUAUCAUCUGCAUUUACAAUAGCAGGUUCUGUCGACUGGUCCUUUAUAACAUUUACCUCCUCUGGAACUAGUUUUUCAGUGUCCUUAACUAUACUGGUUGGCUCCAGUUCUUCUUGCCUCUCCAUUUUGGGUUUCUCUUCUUCUUUCUCCCCUUUAUUGAUUAGAGCUGUUACUUCUCCAGCUGAUUGUGGUGAGAUGCCUGUGGUGGUGUGUGCUUCCAUUAUGAUGUGUUUUUUGCUCUCUUCUUUCAGGCAAGCAGUCUUAGUAUCCCUGUAUACCUCUUCAAUCUCUUCCAUUUUUCUUUCCUCUUCUGUAUUAUUGCUUGUUUGUUUGCCUUCUGUAUCUAUUUCACUUGUUAUUGGCUUUGUCUCCACAACUUCGGUCUCCACACUUACAUUUUUGUUGCAUGUUUCUUCCUCUGGUUUUUGAUCCUCUCUGGUUGAGACUUUUUGCGCUUUGUUCUCAAUAUCUUCAUUUCCUUCUUCAUUAUUUUCUUUCUCUACAGUUUCUUCAGUAUAUUGGAUGGCUUCAACUUGUUUUGCUAUUAUGAUGUCAUUGGCCUGUUCACCCAAUGUAUCUGUCUCAGUUUCUGCAGUAAUUAUAUUUGAUGAUGUGUGAGGAAGUUCUUCUGUUUCAUUCUUCUGCAACUCCGGUUCCCUUUUUUCUUCACUCUGUGAUCUUUCCUUCUCGCAAUUCUUGAUAGCCUCUGCUAAUUCAGUAUUGCUGUCAUUACCUUCGCUAGCUUUGAUCAAAGAUCCAUUGUUUGUCUCCUCUGGCAAUUCUUCUGUUGGAUUUAUGUUCUCAACCUUACCCUGCAAGCUUUCCUCUUCUUUCAUUGAUGCAGUUGGAAGAUUUGCAUUGGGACUUUCGUUAUUUUCAUUUGUCUCAACUACAAUUCUCUCAUAUGUUUUGCUUGUUAGAGACUCCUUAGAAAUCUCUUGGUUAGACACUUCAGCAUUAAUUUCAUCAUUAUGGAGAUUCUUAAGCGUUCCUUGCUCAAUAGAUUCUUUUGGGAGGCUUUCAAUAUCACUCUCAUGCAUGAUAUGUCCCUUGGUGUCAUCUUCUUCUUUAGACAUUUCUGCCUCCUUUGCAUUGUCUUGAGGAUUCUCAACUAUCUCUUCUUCAGUGUUAUGAGCCACUUCUGUCAAAGUAACUGCCUCAGUUUCUGCAGAUAGCACAGUAAUCAGCGGUUCAAGAUUUUCUCCAGUUUCUAUCUUUUUCUCUAGUUGUUCUGAAUCUUCCUCACUCUUCAAUGUCUCCUCAUUUUGCUCUUUAAGUUCUUCUAAUCCAGUGUUAUUCCCAUUCUCCUCAUCCAUUUUGAGAGUAAGAGUAGAGUGAUUCUUAUCCUUUUCAUCCAUGGGUGGAGCUUCUGGUGGAGUCAAGUAACUUGGCAGACUUUCAUCCCUUACUAGUGAAGCUUGAAGAGACAAGUUGAGACUUUCAUCAUUCUGAUUCAUUUCAUGGGAAAAAUGAUAAUCCGGUUCGGAUUUUUCCUUGGCACUGUCCAUGUUAUCCUCUUCUAGCCUAGUGUUGCUAUCACCAUCUUCAUCUAUAUUUACAGAAGACCCAUUCUCCUCCUUUUUCUCCUCCAUUGAGGCUUCUGCUAGAAUGUUCUUACCCUCAUCCUGUAGACUUUCCACUUCUUUUG